UGCAGUUGUUGCUGCUAAGGGUGGCCCAAACAGUUAUUAGACUUAGGGCGCAAUCACUUUUUCACACAGGGCCAUGUAGGUUUGGAUUUUGUUUUCCCUUAAUAAUAAUCAUUUGGAAACUGGAU